rnacentral:misc_RNA from 1 species
UCGCAGCUUACGCUGGCAGUCUUGUUAGAGUCCUCAGCUUGACCUGUUAGUAACUAACAAUGUGGGUUGCGCUCGUUAUGGCACUUAAGCCGACACCUCACGGCACGAGCUGACGACAACCAUGCAGCACCUACACAUCUGCUAUUGCUAGAAUACGUGUUUCCACGUACGUCAGAUGCAUUUCAAGCCCGGGUAAGGUUCCUCGCGUAUCAUCGAAUUAAACCACAUGUUCCUCCGCUUGUGCGGGCCCCCGUCAAUUCCUUUGAGUUUCACCGUUGCCGGCGUACUCCCCAGGUGGAUUACUUAUCGCUUUCGCUUAGUCACUUGCUAUCAUAUCGCAAACAACUAGUAAUCAUAGUUUACUGCGUGGACUAC